GUUUGAUCCUGGCUCAGGAUGAACGCUGGCGGCGUGCCUAAUACAUGCAAGUCGAACGAGGUGCUUGAGUAGCAAUACGAGAGUAUCCUAGUGGCGAACGGGUGAGUAACGCGUUGGUGACCUACCCCAAAGUGUGGGAUAACAGUUCGAAAGGACUGCUAAUACCGCAUGUGGUUAUCGGAUUUAGAAACUGAUAACUAAAGGAGCAAUUCGCUUUGGGAGGGACCUGCGUCCCAUCAGCUAGUUGGUGAGGUAAUGGCUCACCAAGGCUACGACGGGUAGGGGACCUGAGAGGGUGACCCCCCACAAUGGAACUGAAACACGGUCCAUACACCUACGGGUGGCAGCAGUAGGGAAUAUUGCACAAUGGGCGAAAGCCUGAUGCAGCAACGCCGCGUGUGCGAUGAAGGCCUUCGGGUCGUAAAGCACUUUUCUGAGGGAUGAGCAAGGACAGUACCUCAGGAAUAAGUCUCGGCUAACUACGUGCCAGCAGCCGCGGUAAAACGUAGGAGGCAAGCGUUAUCCGGAUUCACUGGGCGUAAAGCGCGUGCAGGCGGUUCGGUAAGUUGGGCGUGAAAUCUCCUGGCUUAACUAGGAGAGGUCGUUCAAUACUACCGGACUUGAGAGUGAUAGAGGAAGAUGGAAUUCCCGGUGUAGUGGUGAAAUGCGUAGAUAUCGGGAGGAACACCAGUGGCGAAAGCGAUCUUCUGGAUCAUUUCUGACGCUCAGACGCGAAAGCUAGGGUAGUAAACGGGAUUAGAGACCCCGGUAAUCCUAGCCGUAAACGAUGUAAACUUGGCGUCGGUGGCUUAAACUCCAUCGGUGCCGCAGCUAACGCGAUAAGUUACCGCCUGGGACUACGAUCGCAAGAUUAAAACUCAAAGGAAUUGACG
rnacentral:rRNA from 1 species